rnacentral:miRNA from 1 species
CUCGGGCGGGCGGAGCGGCAC